GAGAGUUGGACGAUUACCAUAGGAUAGAAUACUAUUAUUCCUACUUGAAAGAAUUAUUAAUAGCCGUCAACCGCGAUGGCUGCAAAGUAGAACGUUACGCCGUAUGGAGUAUUUUAGACAACUUUGAAUGGAGCGAAGGUUACACAAAAAAAUUCGGAAUCAUUGGAGUGGACUUUGACAACCCCUCGAGGAAUAGAACGUAUAAAUUGUCCGCAAAAUGGUGGGAAAAAGUACUCCAUACUCGUACUCUUCUAGAAGUACCCAGAAGUAGUGCACCGAACAAUUACACCUGGUCUUUUAUGAUCACAGCUUGUUGCAUUAUGUCUGUUUUCAACUACUUCCACAUUUUUCGCUAAUUUACAAGCAGUAUUCUUCUGCAGUGUUUAUCGUUUAUAACAUUUUCCGCUCAAUUGUACGCACAUUAUUUUCUGAGUAAAA
rnacentral:misc_RNA from 1 species